rnacentral:rRNA from 1 species
AGAGAGAGACAUGCGCGCAUAUCAAUAAGCGGAGGAAAAGGAAACUAACUAGGAUUCCCUCAGUAACGGCGAGUGAAGCGGGAAGAGCUCAAAUUUGAAAUCUUCAAGGUUCUACCUUGACGAAUUGUAGUUUAAAGAAGUGUUUUCUGUUGAAGUUUUGGUAAAAGUUCUUUGGAAUAGGACAUCAUAGAGGGUGAGAAUCCCGUAUUUGACCUUUACUUUCAACUUUGUGAUACACUUUCAAAGAGUCGGAUUGUUUGGGAAUGCAGUCCAAAAUGGGUGGUAAAUUUCAUCUAAAGCUAAAUAUUGGCGAGAGACCGAUAGCGAACAAGUACCGUGAGGGAAAGAUGAAAAGAACUUUGAAAAGAGAGUUAAACAGUACGUGAAAUUGUCAAAAGGGAAGCGUUUGACACCAGUGUUGUUUUCUCGAAAAUCAAUUAAAAAGAGUUAGAUUUUGUUGUGUAUUGACCUUUAUCAGCUUGCACUUCAAUUUUCUUGUCUUUUUUAAUGCACUUUUCGUUUAACAAGUCAACAUCAAUUUCUUUUGUUGUAAAAGGGUCAUUGGAAGGUGGCUUUCUUUUCGGAGAAAGUGUUUAUAGCCUUUGGCCUCUGCAAUCGGAGAGAUUGAGGUCUGCAGCGUAGAUCCUUCGGGGUUAGAUACAUUUGUGCUAAGUUAUAGCCUUUCAUAGACAACUUGUUGACUAUGAUCAGUCAUGUAGCUUACUCGCUUAUGCUAUUUUACCUACGCUUAGGAUGUUGAUGUGAUACUGCGAGCA